GCAAAGGCCCUUUUUAGGGCCACUAAAAUUUGAUUACCGUCUCCU
rfam:Schistosoma curassoni strain Dakar, Senegal genome assembly, scaffold: SCTD_scaffold0003368